rnacentral:rRNA from 1 species
AGUGAACGCUGGCGGUAGGCCUAACACAUGCAAGUCGAACGGCAGCACAGUAAGAGCUUGCUCUUACGGGUGGCGAGUGGCGGACGGGUGAGGAAUACAUCGGAAUCUACUUUUUCGUGGGGGAUAACGUAGGGAAACUUACGCUAAUACCGCAUACGACCUACGGGUGAAAGCAAGGGAUCUUCGGACCUUGCGCGAUUGAAUGAGCCGAUGUCGGAUUAGCUAGUUGGCGUGGUAAAGGCCCACCAAGGCAACGAUCCGUAGCUGGUCUGAGAGGAUGAUCAGCCACACUGGAACUGAGACACGGUCCAGACUCCUACGGGAGGCAGCAGUGGGGAAUAUUGGACAAUGGGCGCAAGCCUGAUCCAGCCAUACCGCGUGGGUGAAGAAGGCCUUCGGGUUGUAAAGCCCUUUUGUUGGGAAAGAAAAGCAGCAGGUUAAUACCCCGCUGUUCUGACGGUACCCAAAGAAUAAGCACCGGCUAACUUCGUG